rnacentral:rRNA from 1 species
GCACCAGGCGCGAAAACUCUACAAUGCAGGCAACUGCGAUAGGGGAACAUCGAGUGGCACCCACCAUGGGUGUCUGUCCAGCCGUCUAAAAAACGGCUGUUAGCAAGGGCCGGGCAAGACCGGUGCCAGCCGCCGCGGUAAUACCGGCGGCUCGAGUGGUGGCCGAUAUUAUUGAGUCUAAAGGGUCCGUAGCCGGCUUUGCAAGUCCCCUGGGAAAUCCAGCGGCUUAACCGUUGGGCUUUCAUGGGAUACUACAUUGCUUGGGACUGGGAGAGGUAGGAGGUACUCAGGGGGUAGGGGUGAAAUCCUGUAAUCCUCUGGGGACCACCGGUGGCGAAGGCGUCCUACCAGAACAGGUCCGACGGUGAGGGACGAAAGCUAGGGGCACGAACCGGAUUAGAUACCCGGGUAGUCCUAGCCGUAAACGAUGCUCGCUAGGUGUCACGGCAGUCGUGAAUUGUCGUGGUGCCGUAGGGAAGCCGUGAAGCGAGCCACUUGGGAAGUACGACCGCAAGGUUGAAACUUAAAGGA